rnacentral:rRNA from 1 species
AUUGAACGCUGGCGGCAGGCCUAACACAUGCAAGUCGAACGGUAGCACAGAGAGCUUGCUCUCGGGUGGCGAGUGGCGGACGGGUGAGUAAUGUCUGGGAAACUGCCCGAUGGAGGGGGAUAACUACUGGAGACGGUAGCUAAUACCGCAUAACGUCGCAAGACCAAAGUGGGGGACCUUGGGGCCUCACACCAUCGGAUGUGCCCAGAUGGGAUUAGCUAGUAGGUGGGGUAAUGGCUCACCUAGGCGACGAUCCCUAGCUGGUCUGAGAGGAUGACCAGCCACACUGGAACUGAGACACGGUCCAGACUCCUACGGGAGGCAGCAGUGGGGAAUAUUGCACAAUGGGCGCAAGCCUGAUGCAGCCAUGCCGCGUGUAUGAAGAAGGCCUUCGGGUUGUAAAGUACUUUCAGCGGGGAGGAAGGCGGUGAAGUUAAUAGCUUCACCGAUUGACGUUACCCGCAGAAGAAGCACCGGCUAACUCCGUGCCAGCCGCCGCGGUAA